rnacentral:rRNA from 1 species
GAUGAACGCUGGCGGCGUGCCUAAUACAUGCAAGUCGAGCGAACGGACGAGAAGCUUGCUUUUCUGAUGUUAGCGGCGGACGGGUGAGUAACACGUGGAUAACCUACCUAUAAGACUGGGAUAACUUCGGGAAACCGGAGCUAAUACCGGAUAAUAUUUUGAACCGCAUGGUUCAAAAGUGAAAGACGGUCCUGCUGUCACUUAUAGAUGGAUCCGCGCUGCAUUAGCUAGUUGGUAAGGUAACGGCUUACCAAGGCAACGAUGCAUAGCCGACCUGAGAGGGUGAUCGGCCACACUGGAACUGAGACACGGUCCAGACUCCUACGGGAGGCAGCAGUAGGGAAUCUUCCGCAAUGGGCGAAAGCCUGACGGAGCAACGCCGCGUGAGUGAUGAAGGUCUUCGGAUCGUAAAACUCUGUUAUUAGGGAAGAACAUAUGUGUAAGUAACUGUGCACAGCUUGACGGUACCUAAUCAGAAAGCAACGGCUAACUACGUG